CCUACGGGGGGCAGCAGUGGGGAAUAUUGGACAAUGGGCGAAAGCCUGAUCCAGCCAUGCCGCGUGUGUGAAGAAGGCCUUCGGGUUGUAAAGCACUUUCAGUGGGGAAGAAAGCCUUGGGGCUAAUACCCUCGAGGAAGGACAUCACCCACAGAAGAAGCACCGGCUAACUCCGUGCCAGCAGCCGCGGUAAUACGGAGGGUGCGAGCGUUAAUCGGAAUUACUGGGCGUAAAGCGCGCGUAGGCGGUCUGAUAAGCCGGUUGUGAAAGCCCCGGGCUCAACCUGGGAACGGCAUCCGGAACUGUCAGGCUAGAGUGCAGGAGAGGAAGGUAGAAUUCCCGGUGUAGCGGUGAAAUGCGUAGAGAUCGGGAGGAAUACCAGUGGCGAAGGCGGCCUUCUGGACUGACACUGACGCUGAGGCGCGAAAGCGUGGGUAGCAAACAGGAUUAGAUACCCCAGUAGUC
rnacentral:rRNA from 1 species